rnacentral:rRNA from 1 species
UUGACCUCGGAUCAGGUAGGGAUACCCGCUGAACUUAAGCAUAUCAAUAAGCGGAGGAAAAGAAACCAACAGGGAUUGCCUCAGUAACGGCGAGUGAAGCGGCAACAGCUCAAAUUUGAAAUCUGGCUCUUUCAGGGUCCGAGUUGUAAUUUGUAGAAGAUGCUUCGGGUGUGGCUCCGGUCUAAGUUCCUUGGAACAGGACGUCAUAGAGGGUGAGAAUCCCGUAUGUGACCGGUUGCUUUCGCCCAU